rnacentral:rRNA from 1 species
UCGCGAGAGUAAGCUAAUCUCUUAAAGCCGUUCUCAGUUCGGACUGUAGGCUGCAACUCGCCUACACGAAGUCGGAANCGCUAGUAAUCGCGGAUCAGCAUGCCGCGGUGAAUACGUUCCCGGGCCUUGUACACACCGCCCGUCACACCAUGGGAGUUUGUAACACCCAAAGCCGGUGGGGUAACCUUUUGGAGCCAGCCGUCUAAGGUGGGACAGAUGAUUGGGGUGAAGUCGUAACAAGGUAUC